rnacentral:rRNA from 1 species
GAGAUGAGUCUUCCCUGAUACUUUAAGUAUCCUGAAGGGUUGUUCGAGACUAGAACGUUGAUAGGCAGGGUGUGUAAGCGCUGUGAGGCGUUGAGCUAAUCUGUACUAAUUGCCCGUGAGGCUUAACCAUACAACACCCAAAGGGUUUUG